rnacentral:rRNA from 1 species
UCGGAGUGCUUGCACUCUGUGAAACAAGAUACAGGCUAGCGGCGGACGGGUGAGUAACACGUGGGUAACCUGCCCAAGAGAUCGGGAUAACACCUGGAAACAGAUGCUAAUACCGGAUAACAACAGAUGAUGCCUGUCAACUGUUUAAAAGAUGGUUCUUCUAUCACUCUUGGAUGGACCUGCGGUGCAUUAGCUAGUUGGUAGGGUAACGGCCUACCAAGGCGAUGAUGCAUAGCCGAGUUGAGAGACUGAUCGGCCACAUUGGGACUGAGACACGGCCCAAACUCCUACGGGAGGCAGCAGUAGGGAAUCUUCCACAAUGGACGCAAGUCUGAUGGAGCAACGCCGCGUGAGUGAAGAAGGGUUUCGGCUCGUAAAGCUCUGUUGUUGGUGAAGAAGGACGGGGGUAGUAACUGACCUUUGUUUGACGGUAAUCAAUAGAAAGUCACGGCUAACUACGUGCCAGCAGCCGCGGUAAUACGUAGGUGGCAAGCGUUGUCCGGAUUUACUGGGCGUAAAGCGAGUGCAGGCGGUUCGAUAAGUCUGAUGUGAAAGCCUUCGGCUCAACCGGAGAAUUGCAUCAGAAACUGUCGAGCUUGAGUACAGAAGAGGAGAGUGGAACUCCAUGUGUAGCGGUGAAAUGCGUAGAUAUAUGGAAGAACACCGGUGGCGAAGGCGGCUCUCUGGUCUGUUACUGACGCUGAGGCUCGAANNNAUGGGUAGCGAACAGGAUUAGAUACCCUGGUAGUCCAUG